rnacentral:rRNA from 1 species
GAUGAACGCUGGCGGCGUGCCUAAUACAUGCAAGUCGAGCGAGCGGACGAGAAGCUUGCUUCUCUGAUGUUAGCGGCGGACGGGUGAGUAACACGUGGAUAACCUACCUAUAAGACUGGGAUAACUUCGGGAAACCGGAGCUAAUACCGGAUAAUAUUUUGAACCGCAUGGUUCAAAAGUGAAAGACGGUCUUGCUGUCACUUAUAGAUGGAUCCGCGCUGCAUUAGCUAGUUGGUAAGGUAACGGCUUACCAAGGCAACGAUGCAUAGCCGACCUGAGAGGGUGAUCGGCCACACUGGAACUGAGACACGAUCCAGACUCCUACGGGAGGCAGCAGUAGGGAAUCUUCCGCAAUGGGCGAAAGCCUGACGGAGCAACGCCGCGUGAGUGAUGAAGGUCUUCGGAUCGUAAAACUCUGUUAUUAGGGAAGAACAUAUGUGUAAGUAACUGUGCACAUCUUGACGGUACCUAAUCAGAAAGCCACGGCUAACUACGUG